rnacentral:rRNA from 1 species
CUCCGGUUGAUCCUGCCGGACCCGACUGCUAUCAGAGUGGGACUAAGCCAUGCGAGUCGACGUAGCAAUGCGUGGCGAACGGCUCAGUAACACGUAGUCAACAUGCCCAGGGGACGUGGAUAACCUCGGGAAACUGAGAAUAAACCACGAUAGGUCACGAUUUCUGGAAUGGAUCAUGGCCUAAAUCUACAUGGCCCCUGGAUUGGACUGCGGCCGAUCAGGCUGUUGGUGAGGUAAUGGCCCACCAAACCUAUAACCGGUACGGGCUCUGAGAGGAGAAGCCCGGAGAUGGGCACUGAGACAAGGGCCCAGGCCCUAUGGGGCGCAGCAGGCGCGAAACCUCUGCAAUAGGCGAAAGCCUGACAGGGUUACUCUGAGUGAUUUCCGCUAAGGGGAUCUUUUGGCACCUCUAAAAAUGGUGCAGAAUAAGGGGUGGGCAAGUCUGGUGUCAGCCGCCGCGGUAAUACCAGCUCCUCGAGUGGUCGGGGCGAUUAUUGGGCCUAAAGCAUCCGUAGCCGGUUCCGUAGGUCUCCUGCAAAAUCCAGUCGCUCAACGAUUGGCCCGCAGGAGAUACCGCGGGACUAGGAGGCGGGAGAGGUGGACGGUACUCCACGUGUAGGGGUAAAAUCCUUUGAUCCAUUGAAGACCACCAGUGGCGAAGGCGGCUUGCCAGAACGCGCUCGACGGUGAGGGAUGAAAGCUGGGGGAGCAAACCGGAUUAGAUACCCGGGUAGUCCCAGCUGUAAACGAUGCAGACUCGGUGAUGGGCUAGCCUUGUGCCAGCCCAGUGCCGCAGGGAAGCCGUUAAGUCUGCCGCCUGGGGAGUACGGUCGCAAGACUGAAACUUAAAGGAAUUGGCGGGGGAGCA